GGCAUCUUUACAACGGCAGGGCAAUUACCGGGAAGCUAUUAAGUACCACUCGCUGGUUCUUGAAUUAUCGGCGAGAUAUGGAGAGGAUUCAGGUAGCACAGAAGCUUAUGGAGCAAUAGCUGAUUGCUACACUGAGCUUGGAGAUUUGGAACAAGCUGCAAAAUACUAUGACCAAUAUAUUGCAAGAUUAGAAACUGAUUGAGCUACUAGCAUGAUGAUUU
rnacentral:misc_RNA from 1 species